rnacentral:rRNA from 1 species
AUUGAACGCUGGCGGCAGGCCUAACACAUGCAAGUCGAACGUGGGGCGGACGGGUGAGAUAUGUCUGGGAAACCGCCUGAUGGAGGGGGAUAACUACUGGAAACGGUAGCUAAUACCGCAUACUAUCGUUUGUGCCCAGAUGGGAUUGGCUAGGAGGUGGGGUAAAGGCUCACCUGGGCGACGACCCCUAGCUGGUCUGAGAGGAUGACCAGCCACACUGGAACUGAGACACGGUCCAGACUCCUACGGGAGGCAGCAGUGGGGAAUAUUGCACAAUGGGCGCAAGCCUGAUGCAGCCAUGCCGCGUGUAGGAAGAAGGCCUUCGGGUUGUAAAGUACUUUCAGCGGGGAGGCGUUACCCGCAGAAGAAGCACCGGCUAACUCCGUGCCAGCAGCCGCGGUAAUAC